GAUUAUAUAACUUAGAGGUUUUAUUUUAUACAUAGAGGAUGGUAGAGCAGCAAUUUAGUGCGUGCUCUGUUACAUGGUGAAAAAUUCUUAAAGUAGAAUGGUUUUAAAUAUAACAAAUGUUUUUCUGCAAUACUAAUGACAACCCAACUCAUGGGUUCUAAGUUCUGACAUAUAUGACUAUAUGAGUACUGUCGACUUACCCCUACUUCGUAUUCCUCUUUUUAUGAUUGAC
rnacentral:lncRNA from 1 species